AUUGAACGCUGGCGGCAGGCUUAACACAUGCAAGUCGAGCGAGCGGCGGACGGGUGAGUAAUGUCUGGGAAACUGCCUGAUGGAGGGGGAUAACUACUGGAAACGGUAGCUAAUACCGCAUACCAUCAGAUGAGCCCAUAUGUGCUUAGCUAGUAGGUGGGGUAAUGGCUCCCCUAGGCGCCGAUCCCUAGCUGGUCUGAGAGGAUGACCAGCCACACUGGAGCGGAGGCACGGUCCAGACUCCUACGGGGGGCAAGAGGGGGGAAAAUUGCACAAUGGGCGCAAGCCUGAUGCAGCCAUGCCGGGUGUGUGAAGAAGGCCUUCGGGGUGGAAAGCACUUUCAGCGAGGGGGCGUUACGCGCAGAAAGAGCAACGGCUAACUCCGUGCCAGCAGCCGCGGGAAUUC
rnacentral:rRNA from 1 species